AUACGGAGGGUGCGAGCGUUAAUCGGAAUUACUGGGCGUAAAGGGUGCGUAGGCGGCUUGAUAAGUCGGAUGUGAAAGCCCCGGGCUUAACCUGGGAAUUGCAUUCGAUACUGUCAGGCUAGAGUAUGUCAGAGGUUGGCGGAAUUCCUGGUGUAGCGGUGAAAUGCGUAGAUAUCAGGAGGAACACCAGUGGCGAAGGCGGCUAACUGGGACAAUACUGACGCUGAGGCACGAAAGCGUGGGGAGCAAACAGAAUUAGAAACCCUAGUAGUCC
rnacentral:rRNA from 1 species